rnacentral:ncRNA from 1 species
AUAACAAGUGCUAUUUCAAUAGCCAUAUAUUUGCUUUCCGAGUAGUGCCCAUUUUAUGGGCACUUUUUUUAUUUA